rnacentral:piRNA from 1 species
GCUCCAUUCUCCCUACGAAAUGGACUUUGC